rnacentral:lncRNA from 1 species
UAUUUUUUUAAUAAAAAAUAUAUAUAUUUUUUUACAAUUUUUUGUUCAAACUUGUUCUAUUUUUUUUAAUUUAUUAUUUUAAUAAUUAUGAUUAAAAAAAUAAAUAAAAAUAACAUGUGCACCGGUCGUUAGUCCGGUACAUUAUGUACCGGACGCCCCCUCUAUCCCACAAUUGCUCCUUUCUCAACUCCAAAUAUAACAAGACAAGACAUUACACAUGAUAUAACAAGACAAGACAUUACACAUGACACAAGAGGAGCCACUAUCCACUACGACAUCGUUCAACAGACUUGGAGUGUUUUGAUGUGUUCACAUUUGUCGGCCCGUCCCAUCCUCUCUUCCUAACCGUCCGAUCUUCUCUGGCUGCCGUUUGGAC